UUCCUGGCUCCUGGUUGCACAGC
rnacentral:piRNA from 1 species